rnacentral:rRNA from 1 species
GACGAACGCUGGCGGCGUGCUUAACACAUGCAAGUCGAACGGAAAGGCCCUGCUUUUGUGGGGUGCUCGAGUGGCGAACGGGUGAGUAACACGUGAGUAACCUGCCCUUGACUUUGGGAUAACUUCAGGAAACUGGGGCUAAUACCGGAUAGGAGCUCCUGCUGCAUGGUGGGGGUUGGAAAGUUUCGGCGGUUGGGGAUGGACGGGCGGCUUAUCAGCUUGUUGGUGGGGUAGUGGCUUACCAAGGCUUUGACGGGUAGCCGGCCUGAGAGGGUGACCGGCCACAUUGGGACUGAGAUACGGCCCAGACUCCUACGGGAGGCAGAAGUGGGGAAUAUUGCACAAUGGGCGGAAGCCUGAUGCAGCAACGCCGCGUGCGGGAUGACGGCCUUCGGGUUGUAAACCGCUUUCGCCUGUGACGAAGCGUGAGUGACGGUAAUGGGUAAAGAAGCACCGGCUAACUACGUG